rnacentral:rRNA from 1 species
AUUGAACGCUGGCGGCAGGCCUAACACAUGCAAGUCGAGCGGCAGCGGAAAGUAGCUUGCUACUUUGCCGGCGAGCGGCGGACGGGUGAGUAAUGUCUGGGAAACUGCCUGAUGGAGGGGGAUAACUACUGGAAACGGUAGCUAAUACCGCAUGACCUCGAAAGAGCAAAGUGGGGGAUCUUCGGACCUCACGCCAUCGGAUGUGCCCAGAUGGGAUUAGCUAGUAGGUGAGGUAAUGGCUCACCUAGGCGACGAUCCCUAGCUGGUCUGAGAGGAUGACCAGCCACACUGGAACUGAGACACGGUCCAGACUCCUACGGGAGGCAGCAGUGGGGAAUAUUGCACAAUGGGCGCAAGCCUGAUGCAGCCAUGCCGCGUGUGUGAAGAAGGCCUUAGGGUUGUAAAGCACUUUCAGCGAGGAGGAAGGCAUCAUACUUAAUACGUGUGGUGAUUGACGUUACUCGCAGAAGAAGCGCCGGCUAACUCCGUGCCAGCAGCCGCGGUAAUACGGAGAGUGCAAGCGUUAAUCGGAAUUACUGGGCGUAAAGCGCACGCAGGCGGUUUGUUAAGUCACAUGUGAAAUCCCCGCGCUUACCGUGGAACUGCACUUGAUCUGGGAGUAGAGUCCUGUAAGGGGGGGU